AGAGUUUGAUCCUGGCUCAGAUUGAACGCUGGCGGCAUGCCUUACACAUGCAAGUCGAACGGUAACGCGGGGGCAACCCUGGCGACGAGUGGCGAACGGGUGAGUAAUACAUCGGAACAUAUCCAGUAGCGGGGGAUAACCUAUCGAAAGAUUGGCUAAUACCGCAUACGAUCUACGGAUGAAAGCAGGGGACCGCAAGGCCUUGCACUAUUGGAGUGGCCGAUGUCAGAUUAGCUAGUUGGUGGGGUAAAAGCCUACCAAGGCGACGAUCUGUAGCUGGUCUGAGAGGACGAUCAGCCACACUGGAACUGAGACACGGUCCAGACUCCUACGGGAGGCAGCAGUGGGGAAUUUUGGACAAUGGGCGCAAGCCUGAUCCAGCCAUGCCGCGUGAGUGAAGAAGGCCUUCGGGUUGUAAAGCUCUUUCGGUGAAGACGAAACGGUUAGCGCUAAUAACGCUGACUAAUGACGGUACUCACAGAAGAAGCACCGGCUAACUACGUGCCAGCAGCCGCGGUAAUACGUAGGGUGCAGGCGUUAAUCGGAAUUACUGGGCGUAAAGCGUGCGCAGGCGGUUUGCUAAGACAGGUGUGAAAUCCCCGGGCUUAACCUGGGAAUUGCGCUUGUAACUGGCAAGCUAGAGUGUGGCAGAGGGGGGUGGAAUUCCACGUGUAGCAGUGAAAUGCGUAGAUAUGUGGAGGAACACCGAUGGCGAAGGCAGCCCCCUGGGUUAACACUGACGCUCAGGCACGAAAGCGUGGGGAGCAAACAGGAUUAGAUACCCUGGUAGUCCACGCCCUAAACUAUGUCAACUAGUUGUCGGGGAAGAAAUUCCUUGGUAACGAAGCUAACGCGUGAAGUUGACCGCCUGGGGAGUACGGCCGCAAGGUUAAAACUCAAAUGAAUUGACGG
rnacentral:rRNA from 1 species